AACGAACGCUGGCGGCGUGGAUAAGACAUGCAAGUCGAACGGGACAUUAUUUGUAGCAAUACAAAUGAUGUUCAGUGGCGCAAGGGUGUGUAACACGUGGGCAAUCUACCGGAAAGUGGGGAAUAGCUCGCCGAAAGGCGAAUUAAUACCGCAUAUGGCCAGGGAAGACCUCUUCCCGCAGCCAAAGCUGGGGCAACCUAGCGCUUACCGAUGAGCCCGCGGCCUANCAGCUAGUUGGCGGGGUAACGGCCCACCAAGGCGAUGACGGGUAGCUGGUCUGAGAGGACGACCAGUCACACUGGAACUGAGACACGGUCCAGACACCUACGGGUGGCAGCAGUCGAGAAUUUUUCNCAAUGGGGAAACCCUGAAGGAGCGACGCCGCGUGGAGGAUGAAGGUCUUCGGGUUGUAAACUCCUGUCAUUUGAGAACAAGGUGCACCGGUUAACUGCCGGUGCAUUGAUAGUAUCAGAAGAGGAAGAGACGGCUAACUCUGU
rnacentral:rRNA from 1 species